AUACAACUUUCAGCAACGGAUCUCUUGGCUCUCGCAUCGAUGAAGAACGCAGCGAAAUGCGAUAAGUAAUGUGAAUUGCAGAAUUCAGUGAAUCAUCGAAUCUUUGAACGCACCUUGCGCCCUUUGGCUAUUCCGAAGGGCAUGCCUGUUUUAGUAUC
rnacentral:rRNA from 1 species